AGGACGAACGCUGGCGGCUUGCUUAACACAUGCAAGUCGAGCGGAAAGGCCCUUCGGGGUACUCGAGCGGCGAACGGGUGAGUAACACGUGAGUAAUCUGCCCCUAGCUCUGGGAUAGCUCCGGGAAACCGGGAUUAAUACUGGAUACGACCACCUUAGACAUCUUUUGUGGUGGAAAGAAUUUCGGCUAGGGAUGAGCUCGCGGCCUAUCAGCUUGUUGGUGGGGUAACGGCCUACCAAGGCGACGACGGGUA
rnacentral:rRNA from 1 species